CUUGAGACUGAUAGAUUGGGUACGCUAUUCAGAGGGACAUUUGGGCAAGAAACGAUUUAAGUGUCUUUGAACGGGGUAUGGUAGUAGGUGCCAGGAGCACCAGUUUAAGUGUCUUUGAACGGGGUAUGGUAGUAGGUGCCAGGAGCACCAGUUUAAGUGUCUUUGAACGGGGUAUGGUAGUAGGUGCCAGGAGCACCAGUUUAAGUGUCUUUGAACGGGGUAUGGUAGUAGGUGCCAGGAGCACCAGUUUAAGUGUCUUUGAACGGGGUAUGGUAGUAGGUGCCAGGAGCACCAGUUUAAGUGUCUUUGAAUGGGGUAUGGUAGUAGGUGCCAGGAGCACCAGUUUAAGUGUCUUUGAACGGGGUAUGGUAGUAGG